CCUACGGGAGGCAGCAGUGAGGAAUAUUGGUCAAUGGGCGCGAGCCUGAACCAGCCAAGUAGCGUGAAGGAUGACUGCCCUACGGGUUGUAAACUUCUUUUAUAAAGGAAUCAAGUGAGGCACGUGUGCCGUUUUGUAUGUACUUUAUGAAUAAGGAUCGGCUAACUCCGUGCCAGCAGCCGCGGUAAUACGGAGGAUCCGAGCGUUAUCCGGAUUGAUUGGGGUUAAAGGGAGCGUAGAUGGGUUGUUAAGUCAGUUGUGAAAGUUUGCGGCUCAACCGUAAAAUUGCAAUUGAUACUGGCAGUCGUGAGUACAGUUGAGGUAGGCGGAAUGCGUGGUGUAGCGGUGAAAUGCUUAGAUAUCACGAAGAACUCCGAUUGCGAAGGCAGCUUACUAAACUGCCACUGACAUUGAUGCUCGAAAGUGUGGGUAUCAAACAGGAUUAGAUACCCGAGUAGUC
rnacentral:rRNA from 1 species